rnacentral:rRNA from 1 species
GACGUAGGGCGCGAGCGUUGUCCGGAUUUAUUGGGCGUAAAGAGCUCGUAGGCGGCUUGUCGCGUCGUUCGUGAAAACUCACAGCUCAACUGUGAGCUUGCGGUCGAUACGGGCAGACUGGAGGUAUGCAGGGGAGAACGGAAUUCCUGGUGUAGCGGUGAAAUGCGCAGAUAUCAGGAGGAACACCGGUGGCGAAGGCGGUUCUCUGGGCAUGUCCUGACGCUGAGGAGCGAAAGUGUGGGGAGCGAACAGG